CACACCGCCGACGCACGUCGUGCCAUCCCCGGAGGAGCAGCUGGUGGAGCUCAGCCCGUCCUACCCCUCUCCGAUUUGUUUUGCUAGACCGCCUAGCCUCCUCCACCUCUUCAUCGUCACCAAGGACGCCGGCCAGCAACAGAACAAUGGCCCUCCUCUUGCUGGAGAAACAAUUAUACAGAAGAUUAGGCCCUAAUAUUGAUGGUCUCCAGGGCUAGGGUUCUGUACUAAGGAGGAAAUAAGACUAGGUUGCAAUCAGUAGUUGCGAACGGCCGGAGGGCCUCGCCUCUGGUACAGGCACCUUGUUGUCGCGUCGUGCCUCUCCGCUGGGUAUAUGUAUAAUGAAGAGCUAAAGGGUUCUUCAGUUUGCAGUAGGCUGUAGCCUUCAUAACUACAGGCAAAGGCAGCUGAGUCCGGAACCAAGAAUGACAGCCUAGGCGGCUUGUUUAUACGAUGUUUCCCUUAUUGCACCUUGGUUGGGCGGUGAGGUUGAGGUGUUGUGCGGCAGGGUAACCAACCAAGGCCUAUUGUGUCCGCUGUCCCUGCAUUGAUGCCACAUCCAACCUAGCUAUCAUGUCGUCGUAGUUGAGGUCUUCCAAAGAUGAAACCAUACUGGAUAAUAAAGUUUAUGAAUCGGGUACAACUCCCAUGGGAAGGCAGCGACAAUGCCUUAUAAAUUUUUAGGUUCCUAAUGGAAUGUUAUCUUUUCCUUGAUUCUGCAAUCCUCAAAGAAAUUACACGAAUUCUGUGAGUGCCCUAGCAUCGACUAUAUAACAUCACCUCUUCUGUGUCUUUCAUUUUUUCUGAAGUUUCUUUGUUUGAAAAAAGAGUAUAUCUAUUUUUUAUUUCUUAAAGAAGUGUCUACAUGCAUUUUCUAUCUAGCAAACCACACAUAUCUUUUGUACUUGGUUGCAGCUUAGAAUGUAAAUAGGUUGCUGUAGCUAUUUAUGCAUUGGAAAAAUAGUGAAUCCCUUUAUGGUUGCUGCAUAUAUAUACGAGGUUAAUGUCCAGGUCCAGUCAUUUUUUGUUUAUGAAAAAU